AACGCACCUUGCGCCCUCUGGUAUUCCGGAGGGCAUGCCUGUUUGAGUGUCAUGUAGACUCAAUCCCUCGGGUUUCCGAGGAGAUUGGACUUGGGUGUUGUCGCUCUGCCGGCUCGCCUUAAAAGACUUAGCGGGAUAGCACCGUAGUCGGCGUAAUAAGUUUCGUCGGUGAAGGUUGUGAUGACUGCUUACAAUCGCCCGCGGGCAAUUUUUGACUCUGACCUCAAAUCAGGUAGGACUACCCGCUGAACUUAA
rnacentral:misc_RNA from 1 species